UACGGAGGGGGCUAGCGUUGUUCGGAAUUACUGGGCGUAAAGCGCGCGUAGGCGGACCUGCAAGUCGGGGGUGAAAGCCCGAGGCUCAACCUCGGAACUGCCUUCGAUACUGCGGGUCUCGAGUCCGGGAGAGGUGAGUGGAAUUCCUAGUGUAGAGGUGAAAUUCGUAGAUAUUAGGAAGAACACCAGUGGCGAAGGCGGCUCACUGGCCCGGUACUGACGCUGAGGCGCGAAAGCGUGGGGAGCAAACAGGAUUGAGAUACCCCAGU
rnacentral:rRNA from 1 species